rnacentral:rRNA from 1 species
AGGGCUCGCAGGCGGUUUCUUAAGUCUGAUGUGAAAGCCCCCGGCUCACCCGGGGAGGGUCAUUGGAAACUGGGGAACUUUGAGUGCAGAAGAGGAGAGUGGAAUUCCCCGUGUAGCGGUGAAAUGCGUAAAGAUGUGGAGGAACACCAGUGGCGAAGGCGACUCUCUGGUCUGUAACUGACGCUGAGGAGCGAAAAGCGUGGGGAGCGAACAGGAUUAGAUACCCUGGUAGUCCACGCCGUAACGAUGAGUGCUAAGUGUUAGGGGGUUUCCGCCCCUUAGUGCUGCAGCUAACGCAUUAAGCACUCCGCCUGGGGAGUACGGUCGCAAGACUGAAACUCAAAGGAAUUGACGGGGGCCCGCACAAGCGGUGGAGCAUGUGGUUUAAUUUGAAGCAACGCGAAGAACCUUACCAGGUCUUGACAUCCUCUGACAAUCCUAGAGAUAGGACGUCCCCUUCGGGGGCAGAGUGACAGGUGGUGCAUGGUUGUCGUCAGCUCGUGUCGUGAGAUGUUGGGUUAAGUCCCGCAACGAGCGCAACCCUUGAUCUUAGUUGCCAGCAUUCAGUUGGGCACUCUAAGGUGACUGCCGGUGACAAACCGGAGGAAGGUGGGGAUGACGUCAAAUCAUCAUGCCCCUUAUGACCUGGGCUACACACGUGCUACAAUGGGCAGAACAAAGGGCAGCGAAACCGCGAGGUUAAGCCAAUCCCACAAAUCUGUUUUCAGUUCGGAUCGCAGUCUGCAACUCGACUGCGUGAAGCUGGAAUCGCUAGUAAUCGCGGAUCAGCAUGCCGCGGUGAAUACGUUCCCGGGCCUUGUACACACCGCCCGUCACACCACGAGAGUUUGUAAC